rnacentral:ncRNA from 1 species
AUUCACACAAACGAUGAGUAGCUUAUCUAAGUGGUCUCCAGAGAGUCGGCAAUGCUGUGACGUCGAUGACCAUGGUAGGCAAAGUUGGGUCGUUUGCGUUAUGCUCGGUGGGUGCGCCUUAAGCCAAGAGAGGUCCGCAAGGCGGACAAGUUAGGUGGUACCGCGCGCUUGCGUCCUAUGU